rnacentral:rRNA from 1 species
UAGGGAAUCUUGCGCAAUGGGCGAAAGCCUGACGCAGCAACGCCGCGUGGGGGAUGAAGGCCCUCGGGUUGUAAACCCCUUUCAGCAGGAACGAAUCUGACGGUACCUGCAGAAGAAGGCCCGGCUAACUACGUGCCAGCAGCCGCGGUAACACGUAGGGGCCAAGCGUUGACCGGAUUCAUUGGGCGUAAAGAGCUCGUAGGCGGUUCAGUUAGUCGGAUGUGAAAUCUCCGGGCUCAACUCGGAGGGGCCACCCGAUACUGCUGAGACUCGAGUCCGGUAGGGGAGUGGGGAAUUCCUGGUGUAGCGGUGAAAUGCGCAGAUAUCAGGAGGAACACCGGUGGCGAAGGCGCCACUCUGGGCCGGUACUGACGCUGAGGAGCGAAAGCGUGGGGAGCAAACAGG